UACUCCCUGGAGAGAAGAUGACUUGGAACAU
rnacentral:piRNA from 1 species